UACGAAGGGUGCAAGCGUUAAUCGGAAUUACUGGGCGUAAAGGGUGCGUAGGCGGUUCGUUAAGUCUGUCGUGAAAUCCCCGGGCUCAACCUGGGAAUGGCGAUGGAUACUGGCGAGCUAGAGUGUGUCAGAGGAUGGUGGAAUUCCCGGUGUAGCGGUGAAAUGCGUAGAGAUCGGGAGGAACAUCAGUGGCGAAGGCGGCAUCCUGGACCGGCAUUGACGCUGAGGAGCGAAAGCCAGGGGAGCAAACGGG
rnacentral:rRNA from 1 species